CCAAGGGGCCUGCCGGCGCCUGCUCUCCUUUCGGAGCGCUAAUCUGACCUCAAGAAAACUUUAGCUGGGCGAGGGAACGAGGCUGCUCCAAAAGAGUACGGCUCCCUUGCGUAAGGCCUUAAGCAUAUGUGUUGAUCAGCCGCAAGUUAACAAUUUUGAAUUAAACUGAAUGGUAUCUUUUGGUAUCAGCUUAGUGAGUCCCACAUUUUAGGAGCUUUUUUUGCUUGCCUCUGACAGUUUCUUCGUAGUCAGGUGUUGCUGCAGGGAGCCUCUGGGAGUCCAAGGGUGGAGAGAUCUGCCUUCAUCUGAAGAUCUCUGCUAA
rnacentral:lncRNA from 1 species